rnacentral:ribozyme from 15 species
AAUAGAGAGAAUCAAACUUGAGAGAAAUAAUUAAAAAAAUACUACAGACACGAAAAAAUUGCAUGGAUGCAGCUGGAUUGCUAACAACUAGUUCUUAAAGUUGAAGGAAACGAAGACAAUUCUUUUUUUUUUUUUUUUUUAUUCCUUCCUCCUCGUC